rnacentral:rRNA from 1 species
GAUGAACGCUGGCGGCGUGCCUAAUACAUGCAAGUCGAGCGAACGGACGAGAAGCUUGCUUCUCUGAUGUUAGCGGCGGACGGGUGAGUAACACGUGGAUAACCUACCUAUAAGACUGGGAUAACUUCGGGAAACCGGAGCUAAUACCGGAUAAUAUAUUGAACCGCAUGGUUCAAAAGUGAAAGACGGUCUUGCUGUCACUUAUAGAUGGAUCCGCGCUGCAUUAGCUAGUUGGUAAGGUAACGGCUUACCAAGGCAACGAUGCGUAGCCGACCUGAGAGGGUGAUCGGCCACACUGGAACUGAGACACGGUCCAGACUCCUACGGGAGGCAGCAGUAGGGAAUCUUCCGCAAUGGGCGAAAGCCUGACGGAGCAACGCCGCGUGAGUGAUGAAGGUCUUCGGAUCGUAAAACUCUGUUAUUAGGGAAGAACAUAUGUGUAAGUAACUGUGCACGUCUUGACGGUACCUAAUCAGAAAGCCACGGCUAACUACGUG